GACGUAGGGCGCGAGCGUUGUCCGGAUUUAUUGGGCGUAAAGAGCUCGUAGGCGGCUUGUCGCGUCGUCCGUGAAAACCCACAGCUCAACUGUGGGCUUGCGGUCGAUACGGGCAGGCUAGAGUUCGGUAGGGGAGACUGGAAUUCCUGGUGUAGCGGUGGAAUGCGCAGAUAUCAGGAGGAACACCGGUGGCGAAGGCGGGGUCUCUGGGCAGUAACUGACGCUGAGAAGCGAAAGCAUGGGGAGCGAACAGG
rnacentral:rRNA from 1 species